GGGCUCUGAGCACAGGUGUGGCCCAAUUGACUCGUGAUGGGUGCUGGGGGCACAGUGUAGACGGUAGGGAAGGAGAGUGGGAGCCGGAAGCAGUGAUCCAGGUGGGAGUGGUGAGGGUUUGUACCAGGGAGUGGCGCUGGAGAACGGGGCAGGUGGGCUCUGACACCCAGAAAAGGUAGAGCCCACGGGAAGCCCCGUGGUGCCUCCGGAGUCUGUCACCCAUCGGCGCAGGUGCCUUUCCCCUUCCGUGCCCCAGCCAGUCUCACGUGCAUCCACGCUCCCAGUCCUGUCCCCACGUCACUGCCUCUGCCCUCCCGGGCCCCUCAGGAAGCCCCUGUCAAGCCUCUGGCCCUGUGGGGCUGGUUGCACCUGGGGGUCAGGGACAUGGGCAGGGCCCCCAGAACCCCAAAGCCCUGCGCGUCCCCACCCCUGUUGUGGCUCCAGCCUGGUGCUACCCUCCAUGGCCCUUGGGGACAUCAGAGAAACACAUCCUGGCUCAGGCAGGUGGCUCUCCGGGGGAGCUUUCCAACCACGGCUUCUUGUUUUAGUCUAAAUUAAACUGGGAUUUCUUUCCAGGACAUGUAAUUAGAGCCCAGCUUUCUCCCUGGACCCGGCCUCCUGUGGGUUGAAGAGAGGGUGUGUGGGUGUGUGGCCGCUGCACCAGGAGGGAGUCUGGUCAGCGGAGCUCAGGGGCCGAGGCACUGCUGACCCUGAGCUUCCUGGGCAACCACUGUGGCCUCCUGUUCUUUUGGGCUUUGUGGACGCAGGCCGAUUCAGAUGGUGGCAGGCACUUCUCAGGGAGAAGCCAGGCCCAGCUCAGGGCCCCACAGAGGGUCCCCAUGGGCAAGGAGGGUCCACCCAGGGGAGCAGCAGCCCAUGUGCAAGUGUGCGGCUCAGGGAUGACCUGACGCUGUGUCUGAAAACAGGUGACAGCCCAGAGACGCUGCCUUCCCGCAAGGCGACCUGACGCUGUGUCUGAACACAGGUGACAGCCCAGAGACGCUGCCUUCCCACAAGGCGACCUGACACUGUGUCUGAACACAGGUGACAAGAGACACUGUGCCCGAGGGGCCAGGACACGUUGGAGCAUGGACCGAGCUGGGUGUGUCCGUGCUGUGACGGAACUCUUCUGCCACAGGCUCUGCUUCAGCCUGGGGUCCUUGGACUGCAGCCCUGCGGGAGGUGCAGCACCCCGACCUCCAGUGCCGGGUCGGGCUGGGGUUUGCCAGACAUUCUCUCCCUUUCCCUACCAGAGUCUGGAAAUGGCCUUUGUAGGCCCUGACCCUCCCUCCCUCACCCCUAGUGUGGCUGGAACCGGUGGAGCGGGGGCUGAGUUCUGACAAGUCCCUGGAAAGCAGGGAGAGCCCCCGUGUUCUGGGGCUGGGGCUGGGAUCACUCCAGGCAUUGCCUGACUGGGGGCUCCACAGCCCCCCUCGUGUCAGUGAGAACCCACCAACUCCACCCCACAAUGCAGGGCCCUGGCCCACGUGCAGUCCAUGUGGUGUGGCUGUGAGGACCAGGUGGGGCGGUGGCGGGUGGCUGCUGAUCUAGGACCCUGUGACCAAGCUCUGGUGCCCCUUCCUGACAGUGGCCUCCCAUCGGGCCUCCAUGUCCGUGGGGACAGGCCUGGCAGCCAUGCUGGGGAUGUAACAGCCUGAGAAGGUGCUGCUCUGAUAGGGUGGGAUCCUGGCCCCCUCUUCAGCACACGCCCCUGGCUGGGUCCUUAUGGAGGGCCUGGCCCAUGCCCCCGCUCUCUUUCUCUGUGUCUCCCCCCUCCCUCUCUGCCUCCUUCCUGCAUUUCAGGGUUCUUAACACUCUCCUGGACUGGGGGGCAGAACUGGGCCCACUGAGAGCCCCCAGGGUCCCCUGAUUCUGUGCGGGGUGAGGGUCCACACUGCCCGGGCAUGAGACCUGGGGCUUGGCUGUGCUGUGCUUGGGAGGCUGACCCUGGCCUUGGGCUCCAGUCCUGUGGGGUCUUCUCUGGGGUCUCCGCGUCUCCAUGUGUGCUCUGCUGCCUGAGGAGCCCAAAUCCAGAGACUCCCUGGAUAGAAGCAGCGCGGGGCUGGCUCACUGGAUGGGCAUCGGGCCAGCGUUGCAGACGUCUGGGGCCUCUCAUAUGCCCGCCUGGCAUAGCCGACCCAAGGGAGGGUUGGCCUCUCUGCGGAUCUUUCACCAUGGGGACUGGAGAGCUGAAGGAGCCCAGGGCUGCCCUUGGAUACCGCAGACUUUCCCAGGGGGACGGGGGACAUGGGUGGGAGAUAAGGAAGGGAGGUUUCAGCUCAACCCAGAGAAGGACUUUCAUCAUUCAUGGGGGUCUGGGCUGCUGUCCUCAGGCAAGUGGGGACUGGACCAGGUGGUCUGUCCUUUACUCAUAUGUCCCUGAUAUGGGCCAGGUACUUGCUGGGCACGAUGGAGCCAGGGCCCUUCCCCCCAGGGUGCGUGUUCUGCCAACGGCAAAGUCCCCAUGCCACAGGAUCCACUCUGUGCUCCAGGCCUCUCCUCUCGACGGUGACUGCAGGCCGGGCUCCAGGGAUGGGCGGUUCUGCAGGUGUGCAGAGUCCCCCUUACGCAGGUGUGCACAGAGUCCCCCUUACACGCCUUUCUCUUCAGGGGUCCCACCAGGAGGGUCAGUCGGAGGCUUGAUUUCCUGCCCCAGCAGCUGGAGGGGUGGGGGUCCAGGGAGAGUGUGGUGGGGACAGUGAGCGGCAGAGCUGGAGGCCGUGAGGCUGGGGUGAGCUGUGUGAGAAGCCUUGAAGGUCACAGUUUGGGGAGUCUCAGCCCAGGACCCAGCUCUGAGGGGACAGUUCGGGAGGGAUGGGGCAGGUGGGCAGGGCGGCCUGGGGGCCUGGGACUGGCCAUGCUCGUCUCUCUCCGUGGUGCUGAUCUUUCCAGCUCUGCCUGUGGGUGGGGGAUGGAAGGGAGGGACACAGCUGUGUGGUGUCGGGGGCACACGCCCACUCCUGGGACCAUGGCUGGCCUGUGCGUGGCCAGGCAGGUUGGGCUCUCAGGGCGCAUGGCUACUUUAAAUUUUGGGUCUGUGGCUGUUGGGCUGAUGGAGCACAGCCAGGGAUCUGAGAUGGGCUCUAAACUUGCUGUCAGUAUUUAAGAAGGAACUUUCACGCAAAAA